rnacentral:rRNA from 1 species
AGGUGGCUAUAGCAUCAGGGUUCCACCUCUUCCCAUUCCGAACAGAGAAGUUAAGCCUGAUCACGCCGAUGGUACUGCGUAACAGUGGGAGAGUAGGUAGCCGCCA